rnacentral:snoRNA from 1 species
AUUGUCAGUGAUGUUUUACGUCAGUAAAUAUUCGAGUUUAACAACCAUGAGAAUACCUUACAUGCACUACCAUCUGAGACAAC